rnacentral:rRNA from 1 species
CUGAGUACGGCGGAACACGUGAAAUUCCGUCGGAAUCCGGGAGGACCAUCUCCCAAGGCUAAAUACUCCCUAGUGACCGAUAGUGAACCAGUACCGUGAGGGAAAGGUGAAAAGCACCCCGGAAGGGGAGUGAAACAGUUCCUGAAACCGUGUGCCUACAAGUAGUUAGAGCCCGUUAAUGGGUGAUAGCGUGCCUUUUGUAGAAUGAACCGGCGAGUUACGAUUUGUUGCAAGGUUAAGCGGAAAAAGCGGAGCCGUAGCGAAAGCGAGUCUGAAUAGGGCGCAUAAGUAACAGGUCGUAGACCCGAAACCAGGUGAUCUACCCAUGUCCAGGAUGAAGGUAAGGUAAUACUUACUGGAGGUCCGAACCCACGCACGUUGAAAAGUGCGGGGAUGAGGUGUGGGUAGCGGAGAAAUUCCAAUCGAACUUGGAGAUAGCUGGUUCUCUCCGAAAUAGCUUUAGGGCUAGCCUCGAGGUAAAGAGUCAUGGAGGUAGAGCACUGUUUGGACUAGGGGCCCUUCUCGGGUUACCGAAUUCAGAUAAACUCCGAAUGCCAUGUACUUAUACUCGGGAGUCAGACUGCGAGUGAUAAGAUCCGUAGUCGAAAGGGAAACAGCCCAGACCACCAGUUAAGGUCCCCAAAUAUAUGUUAAGUGGAAAAGGAUGUGGGGUUGCUUAGACAACCAGGAUGUUGGCUUAGAAGCAGCCACCAUUGAAAGAGUGCGUAAUAGCUCACUGGUCGAGUGACCCCGCGCCGAAAAUGUACCGGGGCUAAACAUAUUACCGAAACUGUGGAUGAACCUCUUUAGAGGUUCGUGGUAGGAGAGCGUUCUAAGGGCGGUGAAGUCAGACCGGAAGGACUGGUGGAGCGCUUAGAAGUGAGAAUGCCGGUAUGAGUAGCGAAAGAAGGGUGAGAAUCCCUUCCACCGAAUAUCUAAGGUUUCCUGAGGAAGGCUCGUCCGCUCAGGGUUAGUCGGGACCUAAGCCGAGGCCGAUAGGCGUAGGCGAUGGACAACAGGUAGAGAUUCCUGUACCAGUGCUAAUUGUUUAACCGAUGGGGUGACACAGAAGGAUAGGGAAUCGCACGAAUGGAAAUGUGCGUCCAAGCAGUGAGUGUGAGAAGUAGGCAAAUCCGCUUCUCGCGAAGCAUGAGCUGUGAUGGGGAAGGAAAUUAAGUACGGAAGUUCCUGAUUUCACGCUGUCAAGAAAAGCCUCUAGGAAGAGUAGUACUGCCCGUACCGCAAACCGACACAGGUAGAUGAGGAGAGAAUCCUAAGGUGAGCGAGAGAACUCUCGUUAAGGAACUCGGCAAAAUGACCCCGUAACUUCGGGAGAAGGGGUGCUCUAUUAGGGUGCAAGCCCGAGAGAGCCGCAGUGAAUAGGCCCAGGCGACUGUUUAGCAAAAACACAGGUCUCUGCAAAACCGUAAGGUGACGUAUAGGGGCUGACGCCUGCCCGGUGCUGGAAGGUUAAG